GAGUGUAAGGAAGAGGCUGUCUGUGCCAUUAUGUGUGCGUCGGUCAAGUACAAUAUCCGGGGUCCUGCCCUCAUCCCAAGAAUGAAGACCAAGCACCGAAUCUACUACAUCACCCUCUUCUCCGUUGUCCUCCUGGGCCUCAUUGCCACUGGCAUGUUUCAGUUCUGGCCGCAUUCCAUCGAGUCGUCAAAUGACUGGAGCGUAGAGAAGCGCAGUGUCCGGGACGUGCCGGUGGUCAGGCUGCCGGCCGACAGCCCCAUCCCCGAGCGGGGCGAUCUUAGUUGCAGAAUGCACACGUGUUUUGAUGUCUACCGCUGUGGUUUCAACCCAAAGAACAAAAUCAAGGUGUAUAUCUACCCUCUGAAAAAGUACGUGGAUGACUUUGGCGUCCCAGUCAGCAACACCAUCUCCCGGGAGUACAAUGAACUGCUCACGGCUAUCUCAGACAGUGACUACUAUACCGACGACAUCACCCGGGCCUGCCUGUUUGUCCCGUCCAUCGAUGUGCUGAACCAGAACACGUUCCGCAUUAAGGAGACGGCGCAAGCGCUGGCCCAGCUCUCUAGAUGGGAUCGAGGUACAAACCAUCUGCUGUUCAACAUGCUGCCUGGAGGUCCCCCAGAUUAUAACACAGCUCUGGAUGUCCCCAGAGACAGGGCUCUGUUGGCUGGUGGUGGCUUCUCCACAUGGACUUACCGGCAAGGCUACGAUGUCAGCAUUCCUGUCUAUAGUCCGCUGUCCGCUGAGGUGGACCUUCCAGAGAAAGGAUCAGGUCCCAGGCGAUACUUCCUCCUAUCAUCCCAGAUGGCUCUCCAUCCUGAGUACCGAGAGGACCUGGAAGCCCUCCAGGCCAAACAUGGAGAGUCAGUGAUAGUACUAGAUAAAUGCACCAACCUCUCCGAGGACGUCCUUUCUGUCCGUAAGCGCUGCCACAAGCACCAAGUCUUCGAUUACCCUCAGGUGCUGCAGGAAGCUACUUUCUGUGUGGUCCUUCGUGGAGCUCGGCUGGGCCAGGCGGUAUUGAGUGAUGUAUUACGAGCUGGCUGUGUCCCAGUUGUCAUUGCAGACUCCUAUAUUUUGCCUUUCUCUGAAGUUCUUGACUGGAAGAGGGCAUCUGUGGUUGUGCCAGAAGAGAAGAUAUCAGACGUAUACAGCAUUUUGCAGAGCAUCCCCCAAAGACAGAUUGAAGAAAUGCAGAAACAGGCACGGUGGUUCUGGGACGCGUACUUCCAGUCCAUCAAAGCCAUUGCCCUGGCCACCCUGCAGAUUAUCAACGACCGGAUCUAUCCAUACGCUGCCAUCUCCUAUGAGGAAUGGAACGACCCUCCGGCCGUGAAGUGGGGUAGCGUAAGCAACCCACUCUUCCUCCCGUUGAUCCCACCGCAGUCUCAAGGUUUCACUGCCAUCGUCCUCACCUACGACCGAGUAGAGAGUCUCUUCCGGGUCAUCACUGAAGUGUCCAAGGUGCCCAGUCUAUCCAAGCUGCUAGUUGUCUGGAAUAAUCAAAAUAAAAUCCCUCCAGAAGAGUCUCUCUGGCCCAAAAUCCGGGUUCCAUUAAAAGUUGUGAGGACAGCUGAAAAUAAGUUGAGUAACCGUUUCUUCCCGUACGAUGAAAUCGAGACUGAGGCCGUCCUGGCCAUCGAUGAUGAUAUCAUUAUGCUGACCUCUGAUGAGCUGCAGUUUGGUUAUGAGGACUCGUGGUGUGCCCUCUUCAUUAAAUGUCUGAAGAAGCUGAUGGCUGUAUGCUCUCUUGGAGCCUGUACUAUCUGAGUGAAUGACAGUCCCCUCUGAGUACCUACCCUGGGCCUGGCCGUAAUACUGAAAGGGACAUCUGUCUGUCUUUCCUCCAUCGUUCACUUAAGUACCUGAGGAGCUGCCUUUGUAGAGAACCUUAUCUUCAGAAGCGGGAACGGGACUCAUGGUUCGUUUCUUUCUAUGAGCACCCCUCUCCCUGUAAGGUAAGGCCAGAGGUUCUUUCAGAGGAGACACAUGAAAGGUUGUGGUCAGAGGUGAGUCAUUCUUUCUCAGAGACUUCUCUCCCGGGAUAGUCUCCACAUCGCUUCAGGCUCCCUGUUCUCAGCCUGUAGGAGAGCUGAGUAAUCGGUUAGGUCUGUCCCGUGUCCAGCUUGCAUUGAUUUACACCCCCAAGACUCACGGGACCUGGAGGGAAAAUAGUCCGUGCGUGCGGCUGCCGCAGUGAGAACUGCUGAAAGAAGAUCCAGAGCAGCGGCCGGGAGCCCGCAGAGGUGCUGAGAGAGGCUUCAGUGCAGGCCGACCUCUCAGAGCCUUUCCAAAGUGCCCAGUCCCCAUCGGAGAACAAGCCAAACAAAUAUUAAGGGAAGGAAAUCGAAUACAUAUACCGAACCGUGAAAUAACAUCUGAUCGUUUGAAAAAGCGCCCAGUUGGGAAUUACAAUAGAGUGACACUUUUUCCUUCCCCACUGAGCACAUUAGAAAUAACAAGCUCGGAAUUUGUUUACACAGCCAUUAAUGAAACCUCAAAUGUAGGGCGAAGGACUCUGGCUCCCAAAGAGAAGGGGACACGCUUUCUGCUGCCACAUCUUACCGUCAAAGGGUGUCUCCUGCACACAGACUCCCAUCCCAAAUAAGUCAGAGCCUCACGGAUUACAAGGUUCCAGUAGGACCGGGAUGUCAUGUGUGGAAUCUCGCUCGUUUGCUACACAGCUGACGAGAAUUCCUCCUUUUAAUGGCGUAAGCAUGUGGCUUUCCUUGCUAAAUGGGAACCACAUUCAUGAAGAGCCUUCAGCUUUUAGAAGAUGAGUACUGCUGGGGGCAAAGGGUUCUGUCGUAUUCUUCAGCUUCCUUUCCUCACCCGUCUGCGCUCGACUCGGUCAUUCAGUGACUCUUACCACCUCUACCACUAACACCACAGAGCCGAAGAACAUGGCACUGUGACUUAAGACAUCAUCUGAAUUCUUUGUUUUAUAAGUGAGGGACCGAGCUUCAGGAAACGAGAUGCUUUUUCAGAUCAGAAGAGUGGGAAAUCACUCUGGGAAUUAGGACUCAGCUUGAACUAGCAGCGUCACCUUAGGACAGCCACUUCCUCUCCAGCUCUGAAUUUUCUCUUCCAUGCAGUGAGGGAACUGUGUCAAAUGAUCUCUGCCUUCCAAAUGAUCUCUGACGGCAAAUCUGAGGUAGUGUAGGCAGGGCCCCAGCGGCUCAGAUCAUAAAAGUGUGCUGCUUCUUGUCAUCCACAGAGGCACGUAGUAAUGCCAUCUGGUGAGAUGGUACAGAUACGGGAGGAGGGGACUAUUUUAAAGCCACCUUUUUCAGCCAUGUCUUCCUAAUAGUGGUACCUGACGAAAGAUCUAAUAGCAGACAUUCCUCUGUCAACUGUGGCCAGCUCCAGGCUGUGUUUUUGCCUUCAUCACUGCCCCAGGCCUGAAGCAGGAACUUGAAAGGAUUGGAGAUCAUGUCCCCAGCACCAAGGCACUAACCUCAAGCCAGACUGGGGCAAAUAGGAUCUCUGCCAAAACCCCAGAAGCCUUCCCAUGAUACCGGUUUUCCUGCUUGACUUAUUUUAAGCAGAAUCCUGCCUUGGGUUGGAAAGGUCUCUCGGGCAGACUGACGUGAUUGAACAGGUAGAUCUAAAUGCAUAACACAGCAUGUACAUGUGUUUGUCAAAACCAGUCAGCAUUAGAGAAGUCCAGGUGAUAACUUUAGGGCGCCCUUGCUCUAGAUGUCUAGCAUUAGCAUUUAAUUGUGUCCCAGAUGUGGACAAAAACUCUUUGGCUUUCUGCAAAGUGCCCCCUUGACAGAAACUACCAACCACCAGUGUAAUGAAAAGCAUGAGCUGAAAAUGAAGCCAAUCAGCCCCUUCAUUCCACUUCAUUUCAGGAAAUUCCAAAUAUAAAAGGUGAGCUUUGUUCCCAGAGGGCUGAGAGUGAAUCCACUAACUGGCUCCUCUGUGGAAACCGGCUAGGAAUUGGAAUCCAGCCAGCUACCCCUUUCCCAUCUGGGCAGCAUGCAACACAAGCCUGAAGAGAAGAAGGGCCAGUAAUUCAAAGACAUUUGCAAGUUGGGUUCUUGCAGCUCUGCCUUGGUUAAAAUAAGCAUGUGACCACAGGGUCUGGGUUGGUUCAUAGAGUUCUGUUGGUUAGGGAUUGUCAAAAUGCAGGGGCGUGUGCAAGGAGAAAAAUGAAGCCCCGGCCCAGUUUGGUACAUCCUGGAUCCACGUCUCCCCUCCCCCCCUCCCAUUUACCUUACCCCUUCUUAGUCCAUCUCUUGGCUCACGAAUCCUAAUACAUGUGGUAUCCGUCUCACCCAGUAGCAAUAUCCCUACGGAACUGUGCCUUUGAAAGUGUGAUGACUGUAGCAGCCACUUCAGAGAGUUACUUCUCUCCUAGAACUGAUCCAUGAUUUCCUAAUUGUAUAUCCCAGAUGGGCACCACCUGUGGUUACACCUUCCCCCUUCUCCCCAGUCAGUUUCCUGAAUCUGAUUGUGGUUAGCACACACCCUGAGUUUAAAAUGCACUCUCUAAGCUGGCUCAGGAUACAGUGCAUCAUCCUCUUCUCAGGAACACUCAUGAGCACCCAUAUGUGUACGGCAUUUUAAACGAAGUUUAAUCCUGCAGGCCAUGCUCUUUAGAGACUUCCAGCUCACAGCUGAUCACGGUUAAUGAGUUAGUUCCCGUGGGAAUGGGUUAGUGAGGAAAAAGAUACAAGGUUUUAGCCCUAAGUGGACAUUAGAGGUCACCUAAUCUGACCCCUCAUUUUGUAGGUGGCAAAAUGAAAGCGGGCGCCUCGAGUAGGUCCAUUGCACAGCUCCUCACUGGCAGAGCUAGUUCUUGAGCCACUUAAACCAUGUCCCGCAUUGUAUCUUCUGUAGGAGGUAAUCUAGGCUGCCUCCUGUGCCCUUUAAACAAAGAUAGAAGAUCUCAGUUUGAACUUUUGUGGGAACCCAAAAAAACCUCAGGAAGCUUAAAAAAAAAAAAAAAACGAUAACUCCAAAAACAGCCAGAAGUCCAGAGGAAAAAAUUUUCAUAUUCCUGGUAA